AAAGCCUCUAAGCAUCAGGUAACAUCAAAUCGUACCCCAAACCGACACAGGUGGUCAGGUAGAGAAUACCAAGGCGCUUGAGAGAACUCGGGUGAAGGAACUAGGCAAAAUGGUGCCGUAACUUCGGGAGAAGGCACGCUGAUAUGUAGGUGAAGCGACUUGCUCGUGGAGCUGAAAUCAGUCGAAGAUACCAGCUGGCUGCAACUGUUUAUUAAAAACACAGCACUGUGCAAACACGAAAGUGGACGUAUACGGUGUGACGCCUGCCCGGUGCCGGAAGGUUAAUUGAUGGGGUUAGCGGUAACGCGAAGCUCUUGAUCGAAGCCCCGGUAAACGGCGGCCGUAACUAUAACGGUCCUAAGGUAGCGAAAUUCCUUGUCGGGUAAGUUCCGACCUGCACGAAUGGCGUAAUGAUGGCCAGGCUGUCUCCACCCGAGACUCAGUGAAAUUGAACUCGCUGUGAAGAUGCAGUGUACCCGCGGCAAGACGGAAAGACCCCGUGAACCUUUACUAUAGCUUGACACUGAACAUUGAGCCUUGAUGUGUAGGAUAGGUGGGAGGCUUUGAAGUGUGGACGCCAGUCUGCAUGGAGCCGACCUUGAAAUACCACCCUUUAAUGUUUGAUGUUCUAACGUUGGCCCCUAAUCGGGGUUGCGGACAGUGUCUGGUGGGUAGUUUGACUGGGGCGGUCUCCUCCUAAAGAGUAACGGAGGAGCACGAAGGUUGGCUAAUCCUGGUCGGACAUCAGGAGGUUAGUGCAAUGGCAUAAGCCAGCUUGACUGCGAGCGUGACGGCGCGAGCAGGUGCGAAAGCAGGUCAUAGUGAUCCGGUGGUUCUGAAUGGAAGGGCCAUCGCUCAACGGAUAAAAGGUACUCCGGGGAUAACAGGCUGAUACCGCCCAAGAGUUCAUAUCGACGGCGGUGUUUGGCACCUCGAUGUCGGCUCAUCACAUCCUGGGGCUGAAGUAGGUCCCAAGGGUAUGGCUGUUCGCCAUUUAAAGUGGUACGCGAGCUGGGUUUAGAACGUCGUGAGACAGUUCGGUCCCUAUCUGCCGUGGGCGCUGGAGAACUGAGGGGGGCUGCUCCUAGUACGAGAGGACCGGAGUGGACGCAUCACUGGUGUUCGGGUUGUCAUGCCAAUGGCACUGCCCGGUAGCUAAAUGCGGAAGAGAUAAGUGCUGAAAGCAUCUAAGCACGAAACUUGCCCCGAGAUGAGUUCUCCCUGACUCCUUGAGGGUCCUGAAGGAACGUUGAAGACGACGACGUUGAUAGGCCGGGUGUGUAAGCGCAGCGAUGCGUUGAGCUAACCGGUACUAAUGAACCGUGAGGCUUAACCUUACAACGCCGAAG
rnacentral:rRNA from 1 species